UACGGAGGGUGCAAGCGUUAUCCGGAUUUACUGGGUUUAAAGGGUGCGUAGGCGGGUUGAUAAGUCAGUGGUGAAAUACUAUCGCUUAACGAUGGAACUGCCGUUGAUACUAUCAAUCUUGAAUACAAUGGAGGCGGGCGGAAUGUGUCAUGUAGCGGUGAAAUGCUUAGAUAUGACACAGAACACCUAUUGCGAAGGCAGCUCGCUACACUGUUAUUGACGCUGAUGCACGAAAGCGUGGGAUCAAACAGG
rnacentral:rRNA from 1 species